AACGCACGAGACCUGCGGACCUGCGGAGGGAUCAUUAAAAGAGUCCUUGACGCUCAGACCCUACCGCGAACCUGAGGCCGUUGCUUCGGCGGGCCGGCCCCCCGGCCUGGGGGGCCGCCCGCCGGAGGUCUCCCGUAGGACGCUCUUGCGGCGGCUCGGCCGCCGGACCCUGCCCUCUGAAUCACGCUUCCGAACCAGUCAAAACUUUUAGCAAUGGAUCUCUAGAUCGGAAGAGCACAC
rnacentral:misc_RNA from 1 species